CCACAGCAGUCAUUGUUCUUCAAGCCCAAGAACACCAGCGCAGGGAAGAUCAUCUGCCAGCAAGAGAAAAGUCUCAGAGGGAGGUCUGGCUGCGUCAGGAGCCCCGUCCCUGGUCAGGGGGGCUUGGAGGCUCCCAGGGGCUGGGCGGCAAACGCCAGCCAGGCAUGGCUGGCUGGGCAGAAGGAGCGUUAAUGGGAGCUAAGGUUCCAUUCGACCAGACUGCCUUCAGCUUCAACACGGCAAGCUUUCAGCCAUCGAUUUGGUUCACAGGACUUGAAUGUCCCAUGAGGACCGCCAGCCCAAGCCAGGGGAUUAGUCAGUAGACCCAGUGGACUGUCCUUGUCAGUCUAACAGAGCGAGGACAUCAACUAUGCACUGCCUGCUCAGCACGCAUUGCUCCGGCUUUCGUCAACCCAGAACAGCGUCUCUGUUCGCUUCCUACUAACUGCAGACCCUGGGAGGCAACUGUGAUGGCUCAAGUAGUUGGGUCUCUUCCACCCUCGUGCAAGAGCUGAAGACUGCCUGCCUGCUGGCUUUGUCCACCACUGGCCAGCCAUUAAGGAACGUGUGGGGACUGGCCCAGCAGAUGGGCUCGCCCUCUCUCUCUCUGUCACUGUCUUUCCUUCUCAAAUAAAUAAAUAAAUAAAUUUUUAAACAAUCUAAAGUAGGUCAUGAGAAUAAAU